GAAAUAAUGCAUUAAGAUUUGUUUAGUUACAAUAGGGGUAAAAUGAGGACUGAGCAAGAAACACAAAAUUUAUUAGUUGAUGGAAUUUCCACCAAGUUGGGUGUUAUUGAAAUGAUAAUUAGAAAGAAGACAGCAGAAAGAAGAAAUUAUAUGCUAUAAGACGUUGCUAUAGAAACAAUGAUCUUAGAAUGACUGGCUGUUCAUUGUUUAUUUUUUCCCCCAACUUAACCAAAAUGUUUCACUUAAAUUUUCCGUAAACUUAGUCUAAAUUAUUAUCUUGUCAAAAUUUGAGAUCUCAAUAUGCUAUCAGAGAUACAGCAGAUAACCUCAAAACAUGGUUUAAAUUUUAAGGUGUGAAAAUAAAAGUGAGAACGAUUUCACUUUGAACAUGAAAGCUGAAAGGAUCUUUCAGAUUGGCGACACUAGACAUUCGAGGAUUUCAAGUGCUUGUGAGUUAAAGAAGUCAAAUUUCAGUGAGAAAUUUGACCAAAAUGCUACUAAAAAUGGCAGGGGGGAUAGUGCGCAGAUCAUUCCUGCAAAGGAAUCGGGAACUGUUCGGCACAAGGAGAAGAGAAGGAAGGAAGGCUUCAGGAGAGGGGAGAGGAGGGAUGAUGCUAGUGUGAAAGUGGUUCCUCUUCAUAUCAAUGAUGUAAUAGACGCCUUGAAAUACUGUCAAAAAGGCUCUUUGACUGCUGUUAGGCAGAAUUACAGCAGGCGGAAACUAGGGAAAUUCAGUGUAGAGUGGGGAAAUAUUCCCGCAGAAAAAUUAGGAAUAAACACUCAAAAAUUGAAUCGGUAAACAGGGUGGGAGAUGUCGAGACUUCAUCAGAUGUUACCUCUAGGAGGAGAAGGAGGAUUCAAAGCAAGUCCUACAAUGUUUACAAAGAAAAUGACACUUGCGACCAUUUAAAACUGAAUAAUCAUGCACGAGGGAUCUACCGUUCCAAGUCACAGGAAAGCACUUAUAAAGUCAUACAUCCACGACAAAAAAGAUUGCGGAAAAACCGACUUGUACCUCAUCAUAGAGAUCCAAAACUUCGUAGCAGGAGGUCGCAACUUUCUGUGCCAACUUCAGAGCAAGAAGAUUCAGACCCUUGUGAGCCCAUAGGAAGUAGACGACAUAGCAAUCAACAAGAAAAAGAGAGUGCUGUAAAAGGUACUUUGGAAGAAAACACAAUAUCUGGUUUGAAUACAGAAGCUAAGGCUAAAGCUGAGAUUUUCGAAAGAUUAUCUGGUCGGGAUGGGAAAAACUUCAAUGACAGCUUAGCGAAUUUAGCUCGGAGAGAUUCCAGAGAAGACUCGAUAAAAAAUUAUAAUCCAUUUCUCAAUUCAUCCUACAACUAUGUGCGAGGGGGUAGUCAAGAUACUCCCACUCAAAAUAAUUACGAGAAAAUUAUUCUAGGUCGGUCAAACAGCUGGAAAGAAGAUAGGGAUUUGAGUGAUACUGGUUGCUUGGCGAGUGCGAGAAUUGACGAAAUCAACUCAGACAUGACGAAUCAAUUCAAAUUCGAAGUGAAUCUCGAGAAAAACUUCCAGAUGAAUGGGCCAGAGUCACUUUCAAGGGAUUCUGAUACAAGUUUAAUCCAGCAGAAUUCAAAAAUCGAUGUCAAAAUUGAAACAAGCCAGAUAAAAAUACAAGAAGGACCUGGGAUUUCUCACAUUUGGAAUGGAGGAGACUCGGAAAAAACUAACGUCCCAGUAGACAGCUUCUCUGUCAGCAAGAUUCCAUCCGACACAUUCAACAAGAGGUACAGGAAGAACAGACUUAACGGGAAUUUUGGCAUCCUCAGCCGGAUCAGCGUCCCAGACUUCCAUCAAAAAGAGGUGUUCACAACCAAGAACUUCAGGAGGCCUCAACAAAACAAAAACCAACAAACACCAAAUGAAAACAACAGAUCCUCA
rnacentral:lncRNA from 1 species